rnacentral:lncRNA from 1 species
GAAAUUACUCCUAUUUUUGACACUUUUAUUUGUGACCGUUACGUGGGACGAAACAAAUAAGGAUAUCUUGGAUCACAAGAUUUCAAUCUCUAUUUUAAGGAUUUGUUAUUAAUGAAAAGAUUUUUAAGGAUUUGUCAUUAAUGAAAAGAUUUUUAAGGUUUUGUCAUUAAUGAAGCAAAUAAGGAUGUCUUGGAUCACAAGAUUUCAAUCUCUAUUUUACACCUCAUCUUUAAUUAUUGACCCAAAUAAAAAAGUCAAUAAAU